AAAAAGAUAAACCCUGAGUUUCUGUGUCCAACGUUUGACCGUCCGUCUUAUUUAAAAAAACUAUGAAAAAAACUAAAAAAGAUAAAUCACUCAUAAAGUAUUAAUCAUGUUUUAUCAUCUAACAACAAUAAAAAUACUAAUUAUAAAAAAAAAUUCAUAUAAGACGGACAGUCAAAUGUUGGAUAUGGAAAUUUACUGUUUGUCUUUUU
rnacentral:pre_miRNA from 1 species